rnacentral:rRNA from 1 species
GACGAACGCUGGCGGCGUGCUUAACACAUGCAAGUCGAACGAAGUGGCGAACGGGUGAGUAAUACGUGGGUAACCUGCCCUUCAGAGGGGGACAACAGAUGGAAACGACUGCUAAUACCGCAUACUGAAGGAGGGGAUUGCGUCUGAUUAGGUAGUUGGAGGGGUAACGGCCCACCAAGGCGAUGAUAAGGUGCCGGUCUGGGAGGGUGAACGGCCACAAUGGGAAUGAGACACGGGCCAGACUCCUACGGGAGGCAGCAGGGGGGAAUCUUCCGCAAUGGACGAAAGUCUGACGGAGCAACUCCGCGGGAGUUAUGACGGCCUUCGGGUUGUAAAGCUCUGUUAAUCGGGACGCGGUACCGGAAUAGAAAGCCACGGCUAACUACGUGCCAGCAGCCGCGGUAAUAC